GAUGAACGCUGGCGGCGUGCCUAAUACAUGCAAGUCGAGCGAACAGACGAGGAGCUUGCUCCUCUGACGUUAGCGGCGGACGGGUGAGUAACACGUGGAUAACCUACCUAUAAGACUGGGAUAACUUCGGGAAACCGGAGCUAAUACCGGAUAAUAUAUUGAACCGCAUGGUUCAAUAGUGAAAGACGGUUUUGCUGUCACUUAUAGAUGGAUCCGCGCCGCAUUAGCUAGUUGGUAAGGUAACGGCUUACCAAGGCAACGAUGCGUAGCCGACCUGAGAGGGUGAUCGGCCACACUGGAACUGAGACACGGUCCAGACUCCUACGGGAGGCAGCAGUAGGGAAUCUUCCGCAAUGGGCGAAAGCUUGACGGAGCAACGCCGCGUGAGUGAUGAAGGUCUUCGGAUCGUAAAGCUCUGUUAUUAGGGAAGAACAAAUGUGUAAGUAACUAUGUACGUCUUGACGGUACCUAAUCAGAAAGCCACGGCUAACUACGUG
rnacentral:rRNA from 1 species